rnacentral:rRNA from 1 species
GUAGUGACGGGUACGGGGGAUCAGGGUUCGAUUCCGGAGAGGGAGCCUGAGAAACGGCUACCACAUCUAAGGAAGGCAGCAGGCGCGCAAAUUACCCAAUCCAGACUUUGGGAGGUAGUGACGAGAAAUACCGGAGUGGACCUUUAAUUGGUUCACUAUCGGAAUGAACGUAAUCUAAUACCUUCGAUGAGUAGCUACUGGAGGGCAAGUCUGGUGCCAGCAGCCGCGGUAAUUCCAGCUCCAGUAGUGUAUAUCAAAAUUGUUGCGGUUAAAACGCUCGUAGUUGAAUUACAAAAGCUCUUUGGCGGCCAAAUCAAGGUUUGGUCGUUGUGGGGUUUUUUUAUCGCGAGAGCCAUUUGUGAGAUUAAUUUCUUGUGUGUGGUCACUUGCGAGAUGUGCCUUGAAUAAAGCACAGUGCUCAAAGCAGGCGAUAGCUUGAAUGUUAUAGCAUGGAACGAUUAUGUUGACCUUGUCGACUGUUGGUUGUUGGCAGUGGUCCCGAUUAAAAGGGACAUUUGAGGGCGUUAGUACUUGGUGGCGAGGGGUGAAAUCCUUAGACCCAUCAAAGACUAACUAAUGCGAAAGCAUUCGCCAAGAGUGUUUUCAUUAAUCAAGAACGAAAGUU